rnacentral:tRNA from 1 species
UUUAAAGUUAAAUUUUAAAUAAAUAUCUAAAUUUUAAGUAUAUCAUUUACAAUGAUAAGAUGUUUUAUUAUUAAACUUUAUUUAAAUUUUU